rnacentral:misc_RNA from 1 species
GUCGGGAUUUGAAGAUAACGUUGUAGCGAUGGAGACAUGGGAAGAUGAUGAUUUUGAGCCAGUUGCACCUGCUAAGUUAGAACUGCCAAAAAGCAAGUGGGAUGAUGAAGAUGUAGAUGAUCAAGAUGUAAAAGAGUCUUGGGAGGAUGAUGAAGAUACCGCAGAGCCACCAAAACCAGAUCCUGCAGUAGAGAAGGCGACAACAAAGCCUAGUGCUAAAGCAGCCGGAAAGAAAGGCAAGCAACCUGAAGAAAAAUCGAGCGACGAGGUGGCUGAUGAUGUUCUUGCAGACCCUGUUGCCGAGAAACUUCGCCAACAGAGACUUGUGGAGGAAGCUGAUUACAAGUCAACUACAGAACUGUUUGCGAAGAAAGUAGAUGCAAAAUCAUUGGAUAACUUCAUUCCCAAGUCAGAAAGUGAUUUCCUGGAGUACGCUGAGCUCCUAUCUCAUAAGAUCCGUCCCUAUGAGAAAAGUUACCAUUACAUUGGACUUCUGAAGGCUGUAAUGAGGCUCUCUAUGGCCCCAUUGAAGGCAGCAGAUGCUAAAGAUGUGGCUUCCUCAGUGAAUGCAAUCUCAAAUGAGAAACUGAGGGCAGAGAAGGAAGCCAAUGCAGGCAAAAAGAAGCAAGGGGCGAAGAAAAAACAGCUUCAUGUUGAGAAGGCAGAAGAUGAUGUGGUGGCUGGUGGCACUUACGAUGUGGCCGAUGAUUACGACUUUAUGUGAAGAUUCCACUGAAUUCUUUGCAACCUGAGAUUCGGUUCUGCGGCAUAGUUUUAUGAGUGUGUAUGGACUUGGACCUUUCAAAUUAAUAAGUAAAUGUGGAG